rnacentral:rRNA from 1 species
AUUGAACGCUGGCGGAAUGCUUUACACAUGCAAGUCGAGCGGCAGCGCGGGGCAACCUGGCGGCGAGCGGCGAACGGGUGAGUAAUGCAUCGGAACAUGUCCAAGUCGUGGGGGAUAGCCCGGCGAAAGCCGGAUUAAUACCGCAUACGCCCGAGAGGGGAAAGCCGGGGACCGCAAGGCCUGGCGCGAUUGGGUUGGCGGAUGUCCGAUUAGCUAGUUUGCGGGGUAAGAGCCCACCAAGGCGAUGAUCGGUAGCUGGUCUGAGAGGAUGAUCAGCCACACUGGGACUGAGACACGGCCCAGACUCCUACGGGAGGCAGCAGUGGGGAAUUUUGGACAAUGGGGGAAACCCUGAUCCAGCCAUUCCGCGUGAGUGAAGAAGGCCUUCGGGUUGUAAAGCUCUUUUGUCCGGAACGAAACGGUGCUCGUGAAUAUCGAGCGCUACUGACGGUAUCGGAAGAAUAAGCACCGGCUAACUACGUGCCAGCCGCCGCCGUAAGAC